CGGGUAGUAUCCCUCCGGGGAACUGCACCAAAGGUCGCAUCAAAAUUUAAUUUUUAAGGAUUCCGCUUGGAGCCGGAUGGACCGAGACGGGAGG
rfam:Desulfotomaculum ruminis DSM 2154, complete genome.